rnacentral:lncRNA from 10 species
GGAAGGCAGGCUAGGGGAGAAUGUCAGGUUUGCAGGACCUUCUUUGGUAUGGUACAAAUGUGUCCCCCAAAAUUAAUGUGUUGGAAACUUAAGCCCCAGUGCAACAAGGUUGGGAGGUAGAGUCUUUUGGAAAAUGUUUAAGUCAUGAGGGCUCUGCUUUCAGGAAUGAAUUAAUGCUGUUAUAAAAGGGCUUGACAGAGGAAGGGAGUUCAUCCCUUUUUGUCCUGCCAUAGGAAGACAUAGUGUUACUCCCCACAACCUUCCCCCAAAGACACAGGACUCAAGGUGCCAAUUUGGAAGCAGAGACCUGGCCUUCAGCAGCCAUGGAAUCUUCUAGGACCUGAAUCUUGUACUCCCAGCCUCCAGAACUGGGAGAAAAAUAAAUUCCUUUAUAAAUUACUCACUCAGAUAUUCCGUUAUAGCAGCACAAAUGAACUGACGUUGCUUAAGGUUUUCUAGCCUUAAAUGCUAUAGAUCGCGCAGGACUUCAAGACCGACUUGCGCUUCCAGAGCUCCGCGGUGAUGGCGCUGCAAGAGGCAUGCGAGGCCUACCUGGUGGGGCUCUUUGAGGACACAUUCUCUUGCCUCAGCUUCCCGAGUAGCUGAGAUUACAGGUGCCUGCCACCAUACCCAGCUAAUUUUUUUUGUAUUUUUAGUAGAGACAGGGUUUCACCAUGUUGACCAGCCUGGUUUCAAACUCCUGACCUCAAGUGAUCUGCCUGCCUCGACUUCCCAAACUGCUAGGAUUACAGGCGUGAGCCACUGCACCUAUAUUAAUAAACAGUAAAUAUAAAUUUUCUAUAUGUGACUAGUGAGAUCUACUAAGCUAGUCUAGCCAUUUUUCUCAAUUAUCUCCAUUAUUUCCUAAAGUAUCCUGUGGAGUAACUCUGAUUGCCUUUACUCUCAUUAAAAAGAUG